UAGAAAUUAGAUUCGAAAGAACAUGUCGAUCAAUCCGUCAAAACCGCUGGCUGCGUUUCUUCAUUCAAGUUUGUUUCAAUAGCGCCAUCUUCAGGAUGUCCACGGAGAAGCGGGACGAGAAUUACAAGCUAUUUCACCAUCCGACGUCCUGAUCUGAAAUUCAAAACACCCAGUGUGAACGAUACAACUGUGUGUGUGUAUCGACAUUUAUAUUUUACUUUAUUGUGAUUCGUUCCAUUCCCAAACAACUGAAUCUACAUCCAUUGUGUAUUAUUCUUUCUAUCUGUGGGAUAAACUCUUUCUAUUCACAGCCCAAAACAUUACAUAUACGUUUGGAUCCAGUCAACCUAUAUUUGAUUCCUCGACAGCAGAUGUCACCAGAAGCCCCUCGUUUUGACGAGCAGGCCUCUUUUAUGGUGGAUAAGGGACUCCAGAGACACACAGUUGGUGCAGGGCCCGUCUAGAGACACAACGCUGUCAUGACAGUUGUCACUUCUCAUCAAGCCCAAGGAGAGAAAAGGGAACUGUCUCUGAUGGAGAGGACAGAUAGCAGGGUGGCAGCUGGAUGUAGCUAACACCCUGUUCUGGUCGGAAGGCCGCAAAGGCGUGACCGAGUCCCCUGUAGCGCAUCCAACUUCAUCUGCACACGCGGCUCCCCGCACUGACUCAGUUGCUAGUCAGAAACCCGUUCUGCGCGUGCAGCUCCACUUCAGCGGAGGUUCCUUGAGUCUGUCAUAUCCAAAAUGACCUCAAAC
ensembl:lncRNA